AGUGAACGCUGGCGGCAGGCCUAACACAUGCAAGUCGAACGGCAGCACAAGAGAGCUUGCUCUCUGGGUGGCGAGUGGCGGACGGGUGAGGAAUGCAUCGGAAUCUGCCCAUUUGUGGGGGAUAACCUCGGGAAACCGGGACUAAUACCGCAUACGACCUACGGGUGAAAGCAGGGGAUCUUCGGACCUUGCGCAGAUGGAUGAGCCGAUGCCGGAUUAGCUAGUUGGAGGGGUAAAGGCCCACCAAGGCGACGAUCCGUAGCUGGUCUGAGAGGAUGAUCAGCCACACUGGGACUGAGACACGGCCCAGACUCCUACGGGAGGCAGCAGUGGGGAAUAUUGGACAAUGGGCGCAAGCCUGAUCCAGCCAUGCCGCGUGUGUGAAGAAGGCCUUCGGGUUGUAAAGCACUUUUGUUGGGAAAGAAAAGCAGCCGGUUAAUACCCGGUUGUCAUGACGGUACCCAAAGAAUAAGCACCGGCAAACUUCGUG
rnacentral:rRNA from 1 species